rnacentral:rRNA from 1 species
UAGGGAACGUGAAAGGACCGACCUUCGGGAGCGUUAUACAGGUGUUGCAUGGCUGUCGUCAGCUCGUGUCGUGAGAUGUUCGGUUAAGUCCGCUAACGAGCGCAACCCUCGCCGUAUGUUACAAGUGUCAUACGGGACUGCCGGUAAAAAGCCGGAGGAAGGUGAGGAUGAUGUCAAGUCAGCAUGACCUUUAUAUCCAGGGCUACACACACGCUACAAUGGUCUGUACAAUUGGUUGCCAAGCCGCGAGGCGGAGCCAAUCCGUAAAGCAGGCCUCAGUUCAGAUUGCAGUCUGCAACUCGACUGCAUGAAACCGGAGUUGCUAGUAACCGCAGGUCAGCAAUACUGCGGUGAAUACGUUCCCGGGUCUU